rnacentral:piRNA from 1 species
UGGUCAUUUGCAAAGAGACUAUGAGCCACC